GGUUACUUACUGGCUAAUCCGUUCAAGGCUCCAAAACUGCACCAGCUCAGCCAACACAAUUUGAUUGGAAGGUUGUGCCUUUAUAAGAAAGAGAAGCUGGAUCCAGGUGAACCGUCAGUUUGUGACAUCCCUCCAAGAGUCUUGAGAAUCUUCCUUUCCUCUUCAGUGAUCAUUAUGAAAUUCUGGGUCCUCCUUUUGGUUGUUUGGGUUGCUUUUGCCAUGGUGUCCGCACAACCAUAUGAAGGUGAACAAGGGACCGAUCCUAUACCUGCAGAGCAUGAUCCUCACCAUAGCUCUGUGAAUCAAGACCGUAUUCUAUGCCGUCUCUUAGGAAUUUGUGAUUUAUUUUGGGGCUAGUAGGAUUUGGAUGUUGACAAGAUUUCCUUCAGCUUGAAAAUCCUUGUGCAGAUAAACACUGAAUGGUGAUACCAAUAAAGUAAACAUUUUAG